UACGGAGGGUGCGAGCGUUGUUCGGAAUCACUGGGCGUAAAGCGCGUGUAGGCGGCCCAUUAAGUCUGAUGUGAAAGCCCGGGGCUCACCCCCGGAAGUGCAUUGGAAACUGAUGGACUCGAGUCCCGGAGAGGAGAGUGGAAUUCCGUGGUGUAGCGGUGAAAUGCGUAGAUAUCAGGAGGAACACCGUGGCGAAGGCGGCUCUCUGGGACGG
rnacentral:rRNA from 1 species